UAGAUAGGAAACACCCACACGCGUUAACAAUAGCUAGCUAAUAAUCUCAGAAUUUAUGUAUAAAUCAGGGCCACGAGUCUCCAAACUCACAUGCCUCUCUGUGUCAAUUGACUCAAAGUCCAGUAAAUUAGUUCAGUUCUCCAGUGCUAGCAGCUAUGGUAUUUUAUGGUAAGAUGCUAGCUAUCCAUCUUGCUUUUGCAUGCUAGACUCCAUGAUCUAUAAGCUAAUUAAGGGAGGAAGAUUUAUUGGUGAGUGAUUUCCAUGUUAUAUCCUUGCCAAGUAUACAGUCUUCUGCUGAUAUCCACCUCUAUUUCAUUGUCUGUUCGACCUUGAACUACCCUAAAUAAUCAAACCCUAACUAGUAAUCCCAAUCAUCUAACAUGUUUUCUGACAACGACGACGACGACAACGAUCAGAUCAAAUUGAACUCUUCUUCUGAUUCCAUGUGUGUCUGUUAUAAAUUUCAUCUAGAUAUCCCUGUCUUUCAUGGCCUCGCUCAAUCUGUAUACAUAUAUUCUUGUAUGCUUAUGACUAACUAAACAGUGGUGCAAUGAAAAGGUAAUAGAAAGAAGGGGUUGAGUAGGAAGGAAGAAAAUAUAUAGUGGAAGCUUCAGAGGGUAUUGCAGUGUAACUGUAAUGGAGUUGUCCCUUUGAGCGUUAAUGGUAGACGACGGAGGAAAAGCUAAAGGACCAUUAACUAAUCCUAGGAGUAGUUACUGUUGUUUAAUUGAUGAGGACAAAAGAUAUCAAUGGGAAGCAGUUCAUAGUACACUUGUUAAAGCCGUAAAUGAUAAUGCAUAGAUAGGUAAUACAUAGGACCACAGACCAGUUCCAACCUCUCGAUGCUCCCACCACCACAUCCAAGUAAAAGGAAGAAAACAAAGUAAAUGUUCAGGGAAGGCCCACCAUAACCAGAAGUAGGAAUGCAGAAACUUCUUGAAGAGAGAGAGAGAGAGAGAGAGAGAGUUUGUGGCUCUGUGGUUCUGUAGUGUUGAAUCUCUCUGGAUAUAGAUACAUAUGAGUUGGCAAAUUUAUUAAGAUCAAAUCUAUCGUAUGGGAAGUGGAAACAGACGUACACCUGAAGUAGAUAGAGUGAAUGAGAGGAAGGCAGGCUCUUAGUGAAUUUUAUCGAGCUACGAGUCAAGGAAAAGUUACCUUGAAGUAGAUAGAGUGGAUGCAGAUGUAGUGUAUAUAGUAUAUACCUACCUCCUCCAUCUCAUGAUUCCCAACAAGCUCCAGCCCUUAACAAAAAAAAAAAAAAGGGUUUCCAGAACGGCACGUUGAGGUUAACCUCAUGAUCCUAGGUUUGAUUAUGUGUUUCCCCAUCCCCGAACGGUCUUGAUGCCACAUGAUGAAUGGAUUUUUGUUCAUCAUGGCCUCAGAAAAAAUCGGUUAAAAAAAUAAAAAAGAAAUGAGUUCUCUUUCACCUAUGAUUACUUAGCUCUGGCCCUUACAAUACGGAGUCGAUAAUCUCCUGUCUGUUGUUUUCGAUAUCCAUCUCAAUACAUCUCAUGGAUAUUCAUGUAGUUAACUAUAAUCUUAGGUAGUCCUUAAAUUUUUCAAUGCCUUGUUUUGUCACUUGGCAUAUUAAGAUGGAGUUGAAACUUGACAUAUGAACAUAAAACUUUUUUUUUUUUUGGGAUGGAGGGAUGCACGAAGAAAAUGGUAAAAAUAUUCAUUCACGUUUGGAAGGCAUUUACCAUUUACCACCAAAAGAUAUAAUCACCAUCUAAUCAGCAGGUAAAACAUGGCAGCAUUAAGCACAUCAACCGCCAUUAAAUUUUGUUGUGAAAAGAUAUCAGUAUUUAUAACUGAAUAUAAAUGGAGAGACAGGAUUUUUUUAUUUGAGAGUCCUAAAACACAGGAGUUUUCCUGUUCACUACUUACUUUUGGAUCACUUUGAAAGCCGAAGAGGGAGAAAAUUUUGAAAGACUUUUAAUACAUAUGUCGUAUGUUUUGGCUUAUAUAUUUUUUUCAAUCCAACUAUUGUUGGCAUCAAUAUCAAACAUACCAAAGGACCAAAAUACCUUAACUGCCAUAAAAAGAAUGACUUAAAGGGGAAAAUGACAAAAGAUAUUUUAGUCACUUAACCCCUAAAAAUAGUGACGACAGGAUAGAAAUAACUAAUGGGUAAACUAGUCUAUCUUUUGCAUUAUUUAUGGUUCUAUCUCCUCUCUCCUCUAUUAUAACUCUUUUAGGAACCUAAAAAUAAAAUCCAAAAACUUAUUGAUAGCAAGAUAGAAGUUUAUUUUUAUUUUAUUAUUAUUAUUAUUUUCUUUAAACCCUUUCAUCCCCCACCACACCCAAAAAAAAGAUUAGUAUUUGCUGAAAACUUUUAUUUUUUUGGUAAAAUAUUUGCUGAUAACUUGAUAUGUACUUUAUUCUCUCCCACUAUCUUAGCAGACACAAUAAUGUCUAUUUCUGCUCUUAAUUUAUAAAUAAAUAUAUUUUAAUUUCUAAAUCUAGUUGUAAGAUUACAUUACAGUGAAAAAAUGACUAUUCAACUAGGAUCAUUCAUUUUUUUGGUGUAAUUCGGAUCAUUCCUUUGAACUAAGAAAGAUAGGAGUCCAAAUAAUUUUGCCAGUAUUGAUGAUGAUGAUAAAUUAAUCAAUUGAAAAUUUUGAUUUCUUUUAAUGAUUUCUGCCAAAUUUUCCCUCUUGUUUGAGGUUGUUUGAAGGAUUUUUGGGGAAUAUUGUAAUAUUAUUCGUAAUUUGUAGGCAAUAAUGAUGAUUGAAAUUUUAAGAAUUUUAUUUUAUAUUUGGUAGAAAUUUGUUAAGAGUUUUAUUACUUACAUGAAUUCAACGAAAAAAAUGCAUAGACUAUAAUACUUUAUACAAAUUGCUAUCAUAUCUAAUUUUUCAAUUUGUAUGCAAACAUGUUAUAAGUUUACAUUUGGGAUUAGGUUUUCUAGCAGUCCAUGUAACCAAGCUAUAUUCAGUUGCCUACUUCUGUUACGACAGAUGGAUUGAGUUAGAUUUUUGUGGGAGGGCAGAACCCAAGGUCCGCUGCUCACAUCUUUUAGUCUAAAUGGAGUUUGCAAAUGUAAUGAAAACAUCAUGGAAAUAUCUAGGAAUAUAACAUGGAUGCACAUAAUUACUGAGGAAGUUCAUGGAUAUACUAACGAAGGUGAUAUUACUGGAGUAAAUGAUUGAAUUUGGAUCUAAAAUUUGACAUGUGACCGACUUAUCUAGGAGUCUCAACUAUGGACCAUUUGAUCUUUCCACAUGGUGGAAUUAGGUGUCUCAACUGGACCCUAUACUUGACCUUCCGGCCAAGGAAACUUAUUUUAGAAAAUGAUGGAAUUCAAUUUUAUCGCAUAUCAAUUGUUUAAGGUCGAAUAGACAAUGAACUUGAGGUAUAAGUAAGGACUGUGUACUUGUCAAGGCUUUGCAUGGACAUCAAUGACACCCUAUAUGCAAAUCAUGCCAUUAUAUGAUGCUUCAAAUGACAAUCAAUGAAGAAGAAAUUGGAGGCAAUUGGAGGCAUAAGUUGUAUCCUCUUAAGUGCCCCAGUCCCUUUAGUGUUCAUCGGACGACUGGCAACAUCUGGAUAUUACACCCCAAGUGGUUCUCAACUAUUAGAUAUGCACCAGAGGAAGCUGACACACUUGAGAGGAUCCCAUUAGUUGGAGGUUUCAGCUAGUGAUGUUCAGUAUCAUCAUCCAUUGCCAGUUGUAUUCUCACAACACACCAAUUUAUCUAUUGAAAAGAUCGAUCUUUGAGACAAUGAAAGCAAGCGUUUCAAAGUCCACAUACAAAUGGGUCAACCUCAUGUGUGGCUAACUUGAGUCGAUUAAAUUUUGAUUAGUUUUAGGUACAACUGUUCCAAUUGCUUACAAUUAUUUUGGAUGCUAUAUCUUAGGCUAUGUAUGUCUGAAUUAAAUGAUUUAAAAGAUAUUAUUUUUCAAGUAUUCCACAUA